rnacentral:rRNA from 1 species
UACGAAGGGGGCUAGCGUUGCUCGGAAUGCCUGGGCGUAAAGGGCGCGUAGGCGGUUUGUACAGUCAGGUGUGAAAUUCCCGGGCUCAACCUGGGGGCUGCACUUGAUACGUAUGGACUGGAGUGGGGAAGAGGGUCGUGGAAUUCCCAGUGUAGAGGUGAAAUUCGUAGAUAUUGGGAAGAACACCGGUGGCGAAGGCGGCGACCUGGUCCUUGACUGACGCUGAGGCGCGAAAGCGUGGGGAGCAAACAGG